rnacentral:rRNA from 1 species
UCUUCCGCAAUGGACGAAAGUCUGACGGAGCAACGCCGCGUGAGUGAUGAAGGCUUUCGGGUCGUAAAACUCUGUUGUUAGGGAAGAACAAGUGCUAGUUGAAUAAGCGGGCACCUGGACGGUACCUAACCAAAAAGCCACGGCAAACUACGUGCCGUCAGCCGCGGUAAUACGAAGGUGGCAAGCGUUAUCCGGAACUAUUGGGCGUAAAGCGCGCGCAGGUGGUUUCUUAAGUCUGAUGUGAAAGCCCACGGCUCAACCGUGGAGGGUCAUUGGAAACUGGGAGACUUGAGUGCAGAAGAGGAAAGUGGAAUUCCAUGUGUAGCGGUGAAAUGCGUAGAGAUAUGGAGGAACACCAGUGGCGAAGGCGACUUUCUGGUCUGUAACUGACACUGAGGCGCGAAAGCGUGGGGAGCAAACAGG